rnacentral:rRNA from 1 species
UACGGAGGGUGCGAGCGUUGUCCGGAAUCACUGGGCGUAAAGGGCGCGUAGGUGGCGCGGGAAGUCAACGGUGAAAGUUCGGGGCUCAACCCUGAAUCGGCCGUCGAUACUCCCGGGCUCGAGCACUGUAGAGGCAGAUGGAAUUCCGGGUGUAGCGGUGGAAUGCGUAGAGAUCCGGAAGAACACCGGUGGCGAAGGCGGUCUGCUGGGCAGUUGCUGACGCUGAGGCGCGACAGCGUGGGGAGCAAACAGG